UUAUGAGGUGACAGCGUACCUUUUGUAUAAUGGGUCAGCGACUUAAUCUCAUUAGCAAGCUUAAGCCACAUAGGUGUAGGCGAAGCGAAAGCGAGUCUGAAUAGGGCGAUUUAGUUAAUGGGAUUAGACUCGAAACCGAGUGAUCUAGUCAUGAGCAGGUUGAAAGUGAAGUAAAAUUCACCGGAGGACCGAACCCACUAGCGUUGAAAAGCUACGGGAUGACUUGUGAUUAGGGGUGAAAGGCCAACCAAACUCGGAAAUAGCUAGUUCUCCGCGAAAACUAUUUAGGUAGUGCGUCGUGUGAAUCUUGUCGGGGGUAGAGCACUGAAUGGGCUAGGGGGAAGCAAUUCCUACCAAACCUAAUCAAACUCCGAAUACCGAUAAGUCUGCACGGCAGACAGUCCAUGGGUGCUAAGGUCCUUGGACGAGAGGGAAACAGCCCAGAUCAACAGCUAAGGUCCCCAAAUAAUGAUUAAGUGUGAAAGGGAGUGGGAACUCCAAGACAGCCAGGAGGUUGGCUUAGAAGCAGCCAUCCUUUAAAGAAAGCGUAACAGCUCACUGGUCUAAUUAAGAGAUCCUGCACCGAAAAUGUAACGGGGCUCAAAUCAUUUACCGAAGCUUUGACAAUUACUUUGUAAUUGGGUAGCGGAGCGUUCUGUAAGCCUGUAAAGGUGAUGCGUAAGCAUUGCUGGAGGUAUCAGAAGUGCGAAUGCUGACAUGAGUAACGAUAAGAAAUGUGAAAGACAUUUCCGCCGAAAUCCUAAGGUUUCCUGCGUAAAGCUAAUCUGCGCAGGGUUAGUCGGCCCCUAAGGCGAGGGCGAAAGCCGUAGUCGAUGGGAAGCAGGUUAAUAUUCCUGCACCAGCUGGUAGUGACGGAUGAAGUAAAUUGUAAGUUCUUACUGGAUUGAGCUUGCAGUGAAUUUGUCCCUGGAAAUAGCUCCAGCAUUAGACCGUACCUAAACCGACACAGGUAGGAGGGUAGAGAAUACCAAGGCGCUUGAGAGAACUAUGUUGAAGGAACUCGGCAAAUUACACUUGUAACUUCGGGAUAAAAGUGACCUGCUAUUGGGCAACCAGUAGGAGGUGGCACAGAAGAGGGGGUAGCGACUGUUUACUAAAAACAUAGCACUAUGCAAAGUCGAAAGACGACGUAUAUGGUGUGACGCCUGCCCGGUGCCGGAAGGUUAAUAGGAGGGGUGCAAGCCCUUGAAUCGAAGCCCCGGUGAACGGCGGCCGUAACUAUAACGGUCCUAAGGUAGCGAAAUUCCUUGUCGGGUAAGUUCCGACCUGCACGAAUGGCGUAACGAUUUCCCCACUGUCUCCAACAUAGACUCAGUGAAAUUGAAUUCUCGGUUAAGAUGCCGAGUAACCGUGGUUAGACGGAAAGACCCCGUGCACCUUUACUGCAGCUUUGUAUUGGUAUUAGGGGACAGAUGUGUAGCAUAGGUGGGAGACUUUGAAGGA
rnacentral:rRNA from 1 species